UAGUCCACGCCGUAAACGACGGAUACUAGGUGUCCGGGAUAUUAACCUCCUGGGUACUACAGUUAACGCGUUAAGUAUCCCGCCUGGGGAGUACGGUCGCAAGGCUAAAACUCAAAGGAAUUGACGGGGGCCCGCACAAGCGGUGGAGUAUGUGGUUUAAUUCGAAGCAACGCGCAGAACCUUACCUACCCUUAACAUUUCACGACAUAUACAGAGAUGUAUAUUUCUCUUCGGAGACGUGAGGAUAGGUGCUGCAUGGCUGUCGUCAGCUCGUGUCGUAAGAUGUCUGGUUAAGUCCAAUAACGAGCGCAACCCUUAUCUUUAGUUGCCAGCACAUAAUGGUGGGGACUCUAAAGAGACUGCCAGCGCAAGCUGUGAGGAAGGAGGGGACGACGUCAAGUCAUCAUGGCCCUUACGCCUAGGGCUACACACGUGCAACAAUGGUGCAUACAGAGAGUCGCGAUCCGGCAACGGUCAGCCAAUCUCACAAAGUGCAU
rnacentral:rRNA from 1 species